GCCUUGCCAGCCCGCUACAGAAACUACAAAGGAAGUUGACGGGGGCCCGCACAAGCGUGGAGCAUGUGGUUUAAUUCGAUGAUACGCGAGGAACCUUACCUGGGCUCAAAUGUAUGUUGACGUAUUCUGAAAGGGAUACUUCUUCGGACAAUAUACAAGGUGCUGCAUGGUUGUCGUCAGCUCGUGCCGUGAGGUGUCGGGUUAAGUCCCAUAACGAGCGCAACCCCUAUCAUUAGUUGCCAUCAGGUCAAGCUGGGGACUCUAAUGAAACUGCCUACGCAAGUAGUGAGGAAGGUGGGGAUGACGUCAAAUCAGCACGGCCCUUACGUCCAGGGCUACACACGUGCUACAAUGGCCGGUACAGAGGGCAGCCACCCCGCGAGGGGGCGCUAAUCCCAUAAAACCGAUCGUAGUCCGGAUCGCAGUCUGCAACUCGACUGCGUGAAGUCGGAAUCGCUAGUAAUCGUGAAUCAGAAUGUCACGGUGAAUACGUUCCCGGGCCUU
rnacentral:rRNA from 1 species